UACGUAGGGUGCAAGCGUUGUCCGGAAUUAUUGGGCGUAAAGAGCUCAUAGGCGGUUUGUCGCGUCUGCUGUGAAAACUCGGGGCUUAACUCCGGGCCUGCAGUGGGUACGGGCAGACUAGAGUGCGGUAGGGGAGACUGGAAUUCCUGGUGUAGCGGUGAAAUGCGCAGAUAUCAGGAGGAACACCGGUGGCGAAGGCGGGUCUCUGGGCCGUAACUGACGCUGAGGAGCGAAAGCGUGGGGAACGAACAGG
rnacentral:rRNA from 1 species